CGUGUAGGCGGGAAUGAAAGUCAAAUGUGAAAUCCCAGAGCUCAACUCUGGAACUGCAUUUGAAACUUCAUUUCUUGAGGGUAGACGGAGAAAACGGAAUUCCACGUGUAGCGGUGAAAUGCGUAGAUAUGUGGAAGAACACCUGUGGCGAAAGCGGUUUUCUAGUUUAUACCUGACGCUGAGGCGCGAAAGCUAGGGGAGCGAACAGGAUUAGAUACCCUGGUAGUCC
rnacentral:rRNA from 1 species